rnacentral:tRNA from 2 species
GCACCGGUAGCUCAGCUGGAAAGAGCGCCUGGCUGCUAACUGGGAGGUCGCUGGUUCGAGUCCUGCCCGGUGCA